rnacentral:lncRNA from 1 species
CGCGGCUCGCGUGUCCGGGGCACGCGGGGACGGGGUUGCGAGGGCGCGUGGCGGCGGCGGCGGCGGGAUCCGGGCGGCGCGCGGCAGAGCCUCAGGGCCCGGUCGCCGCGCCAGCGUCUCUCUCCUGCCUUUCUUUACCGGGGGGCGCGGGGCAUUGUUGACUUGGUUCAACAUUGGAGGGAAUGGCUUCAGAGUGGAGAGGGGUGAUUGCGAUCUGUCGGUUCUUUAACCUCACGUUGAGGGAGGGGUAUGGGAGCUGGAUACAGAGGUCAGAGGCCGUUCAGUAGGGGUCAGAAAAGCUCAGUACAAAAGGGUAGCUGUGAAAAGGCAGAUAAGCCUGCCCUAGUUCAGUGCCCGGCAAAGACCAGCACCUAAACAGUGUGAGUUAUCACUGAUUCUCCAGAUGGGUAAGGAAGGUGAGGAAUGAGUCUUAAGAUUCUCAUUCUUGAGAGGCUGGCUUAUAUUUGGAAUAUACGUUUAUAUAUUUGGAACCAGGGAGAGAAACAGUUCAAAUGUUAUUUAUGUUUUCUGUUAUUCAAUUGCAAUAUAGCUUCAAACGGUCUAAGAAAAGACUAUCAAUUCCUACAGUAAAGCGUGUCUCAACUUUUCAUUAUUUCCCUUGUAGGAUGGGAAAUUAAUUUUGGCUUAUUAUGUCCAUUUAAAUUUAAUUUGUCCUUACUGAGAAAAAUCAAAUAUGAAGGCAUGACUUUGUUGGGGAGGACUGAGCGUGGGGCGCGUCACAAACCUCGGUCAGCGCUGAGAUUCUGCGCCCCGGAGGCUCUGUCAGCUCCACCGAGCAUGCCAGUUUUUGUAACCGCUUUCGUGAAAGGUGGCACCAUGCGGGGACUCUGCGGAAUCAUUCGGUCUUCGGAAGUUAAAGUCUUUCUCUUCCUAACAGAUGAGGAGGGAUUUACAGCACUGGGACAGUGCUCUUCGACUGGCAAAACGCUUGGCCCCAGAACAAAUACCGUUUAUAGCAAAAGAGUAUGCGAUUCAGCUUGAAUCCACGGGAGGUUAUGCAAAUGCUUUGGCCCAUUAUGAGAAAGGAAUAACAGGCGACAAGAAGGAACAGGACGAGCUGAGCCUGGCUGGAGUGGCCCGGAUGUCCAUCCGGAUGGGUGACAUCCGCAGAGGGCUGAACCAAGCCCUCAAGCAGCCCAGCAGGGUCCUGAAGCGAGACUGUGGAGCCGUACUGGAGAAUAUGAAGCAAUUUUCAGAAGCAGCCCAACUGUAUGAAAAAGGCCUCUACUGCAACAAAGCCGCGUCUGUGUACAUCCGCCGUGAGAACUGGGCAAAAGUUCGCGAGCUUCUGCCUCACAUCUCCUCUGCUAAGAUCCACUUGCAGUAUGCCAAAGCUAAGGACGCAGAUGGAAGAUACAAGGAAGCUGUGGUGGCUUACGAGAAUGCCAAGCAGUGGAACGGUGUGAUCCGCCCCUACCUAGACCACCUCAACAACCCAGAAAAGGCCACCAGCAUCGUCAGAGAGACCCAGUCUCUGGACAGGCCAAGGUUUUUCCUACAGCUCGGUGACUGUGGGUCUGCCAUCCAGUUUCUUGUCAUGUCCAAAUUUAACAGUGAAGCUUUCACCCUGGCUUAG